UACGUAGGGGGCUAGCGUUGUCCGGAAUCAUUGGGCGUAAAGAGCGUGUAGGCGGCCCGGUAAGUCCGCUGUGAAAGUCGGGGGCUCAACCCUCGAAUGCCGGUGGAUACUGUCGGGCUAGAGUGCGGAAGAGGAGAAUGGAAUUCCUGGUGUAGCGGUGAAAUGCGCAGAUAUCAGGAAGAACACCCGUGGCUAAGGCGGUUCUCUAGUACGGUACUGACGCUGAGACGCGAAAGCGUGGGGAGCGAACAGG
rnacentral:rRNA from 1 species